UUUUAGCCCAGAAAAAGGGCACUUUUUUCACUUUUAAGAAAAGUGGGGGGGCACAUGCCCCCAUUGCCCCCCCGGUUCCGCGGCCCCUGCAGCAGAUGCUUUAUCCAGUCUUAUUUCAGAUCAGUGGUUCGAAUAUACUUAACUUUGAACGUUUAGCUUCACGAUCCUGUUGGUGUGGAGUAUUAGAGAGUUUAUGCUUCGCGUUAUACGUCAAACGGCAAACGCCAGGCAAAGAAAAUUUUUACGAUAUCAGGUAAUAAAGAGCAAAUUAGCUUGAUGUUUUAAAACUGAAAUACAUAAUUAUUCUUUCGACACAAGAUAGAAAAUAUGAAACGAAAACGUUCAACAAAAAUUUUGGCAAGAAAAUUCAAACCUGCCGUUUGAAUUGCCGUUCCCGGAAACAUGAAGCUUAUUUAGCUAUUUAAGUAACUCUUUAUUCUUAUUCAUUUACGUGGGAGAGGCGGCGCACUGCAUGAUUGUGUUUAAGUGUUUUCCACAGUAUAAACUGAAUUUAUCAUACGGUACCUCGAUCUACUUUCCAUUAUUCUUGAUUGGUUAGUGGAGCAGUGGAGAGGAUGGUGCGUUGUAAAUAUAUGUUGUGAAUUUCUCUGUGAACUUUUUACUGUAUACUGUAGUUCAUGUAAAGUAAUUUAACAUCAUUUUGUAAAAAUGUUGGGUUUUUUUUUUUCAUAAUUUAAUCCAAAUUUUCACCGUAUUUUGCUGAAAAUAUGGCAAUUUCUAUUCGAAAUUUAUAUAAAAAAUUCGAUCAGAACGCAGGAAAUCGCAUUUCCGAGGUUCUAGAUUUCCAAAUUUUGCAAAGACAUGAGGAAUUAUGCAUCUCUCAGCUAAAACCAUGGAUCCGGCCCUGUUGUAAAGGCCUAAGAACAUAUUUAUUAUCCAAAUAUGUAGUAGAUAAACCAUAAUAAGUAGACAAUAACUGUAAAUAUAAAUAUAAUUAUUUUAACUUAUACUUUUUAGAUAACAUAGAGAUAAACUUUACUUUGUAAUCUAUAGCAGUUGAAGACAUGGGCUAACCGGGGGGGAAGCCCCCCAGUUUGUUGGGCAAACAGUCGGGCAAUAUUGGCUUAUUAUAAAAAUAAAUGGGACAAAUUCUGUGUAUUUUGUGGGAAAUUCUGUCAAUUUUGUAGAAAAUAUGCUAUGUAAUAGGAAUUUUUCGUAAUCAAUCCCCCCCCCCCGUCGACAACAAUUUUGGAAAGUUUCUCCGAAAAUUUUCUUUUGACAACUCGGACACAAUCCAAAAAAAUAGGGCAAAUCUCUUUCCGCCCCCAUAAUUUUUCAAUUCCCGUACGCCCAUGGUUGAAGAGCCACUCUGUGGAUACACUGUUAUUAAAUCAUUAUUAUAUGGAAUUCUUCAGGGGUAAAGUGUUUUGAGUUUGGAAUUCUUCAGGGGUAAAGGAUUUUGAGCUUGGAAUUCUUCAGGGGUAAAGUGUUUUGAGUUUGGAAUUCUUCAGGGUAACGUAUUUUGAGUUUGGAAUUCCUCAGGGGUAAAGUGUUUUGAGUUUGGAAUUCUUCAGGGGUAACGUGUUUUGAGUUUGGAAUUCCUCAGGGGUAAAGUGUUUUGAGUUUGGAAUUCUUCAGGGGUAACGUGUUUUGAGUUUGGAAUUCUUCAGGGGUAAAGUGUUUUGAGUUUGGAAUUCUUCAGGGGUAAAGUGUUUUGAGCUUGGAAUUCUUCAGGGGUAAAGGAUGUUUUGAGCUUGGAAUUCUUCAGGGGUAAAGUGUUUUGAGUUUGGAAUUCUUCAGGGGUAACGUGUUUUGAGUUUGGAAUUCUUCAGGGGUAAAGUGUUUUGAGUUUGGAAUUCCUCAGGGGUAAAGGAUUUUGAGCUUGGAAUUCUUCAGGGGUAAAGUGUUUUGAGUUUGGAAUUCUUCAGGGGUAAAGUGUUUUGAGUUUGGAAUUCUUCAGGGGUAAAGGAUUUUGAGCUUGGAAUUCUUCAGGGGUAAAGUGCUUUGAGCUUGGAAUUCUUCAGGGGUAAAGUGUUUUGAGUUUGGAAUUCUUCAGGGGUAAAGGAUUCGAGCUUGGAAUUCUUCAGGGGUAAAGAGGUUUGAGAUUGAAAUUUUUCAGAGUUUGGAAUUCUUCAGGGGUAAAGUGUUUUGAGUUUGGAAUUCUUCAGGGGUAAAGUGUUUUGAGUUUGGAAUUCUUCAGGGGUAAAGUGUUUUGAGUUUGGAAUUCUUCAGGGGUAAAGGAUUCGAGCUUGGAAUUCUUCAGGGGUAAAGAGGUUUGAGAUCGAAAUUUUUCAGAGUUUGGAAUUCUUCAGGGGUAAAGUGUUUUGAGUUUGGAAUUCUUCAGGGGUAGAGUGUUUUGAGCUUGGAAUUCUUCAGGGGUAAAUGAUUUUGAGCUUGGAAUUCUUCAGGGGUAUAACUAUGAAAAACAUGUAUCCUCGACAGGGGGGGUACGGAUAUUAAAUGGAAUAGCCCAUUG